ensembl:lncRNA
CUAAUAAAGCCUUAUUCAUAUUGAAAAGAGAAGUAUCUUGUGUUUUGUGCUCACAAGUUAAUGUCUUAAACUGCCGAUCUUGUUACUGUGCUAAUUAAAAGUGUUUUCACUAUACCUUGGGAUAUUAAUAUCCAGCGCAGAUUUGAUGUUAAACGGCUCGUUCAGUGAAUCGCUGGCCGUUUCAGUGAUCAGUCGUGAAACAGUGAUUGUGUUCAAAUUCCCUUUAAAAUCUUAAAUGAUUCGCUUUGAGCUAAAUUGACCUGUUUCCCUUACAUUACCCUCAGGCCAUCCAAGACAUAGAUGAGUUUGUUUCUUCAUCCGAACAGAUUUGGAGAAAUUUAGCAUCACAUCACUUGCUCACCAGUGGAUCCUUUGCGGUGAAUGGGUGCCGUCAGAAUGAGAGUUCAAAUCCACAUGAUUACAUAAAUGUCUUGUGAAGUGAAAAGCUGCAUGUUUGUAAUCAUUAAGACAUUUUAAGUUUAAAUCACUGCUUCUGGCCAAAAUACAAGUCCAUAAUCCAUAAUGCUUCCACCUGUGAAAAAGUCCCCGUUGUCCUCUCACAUCAAAUUCUACAGACAUAUUUGUUUAGAACCAUUUUGGACUAUUUUGCUUGAAAGUUGAAACCAAUCCUUAAUCUGUGUACAUUUCUCUCCUGAUAAAAAAAAAAAAAAAAAUACUUUUCCAUUUGAGACUUUUACCAUAUGUUUUACAGAAGCAACAAUAAUAUAAAAACAUCUUGAUGGAUUUGUUUAUUACAAACACGCAGCUUUUUGCUUCACAAGACGUUAAUUGAUGGACUAGUCUGUCAGUUACUUGUGGAUUGUGAGUAAGCAGUUGAGCAGCAGAAGAGGACAGCUGUCUUAUCGACUACAGCUAAAGUUCAGCUUCAUUUGGAGGGACUUAAAGUUAGUUCUCAGGUUGUUGAGGACAUCAAAGCCCAAGGUAAUCCAUCACUAAAACACUUGUUCGCUGAAUUCAUGAUUCCGAUUUUCAAAGACCUCGGGGAACUCCAUACUUUAAACAGUGAGUGUCUUCAUAGGAAUGUGCACACAUACAAAGAGUAAGUGUAAUUGUGCAAGCUAGUGAAAUGAAUGUCAAUUACACCAUGGUCAAACACUUUAGUAUAAUAACUGCUAAACUGUAGUUUAUACCUGUAAAUUAC